rnacentral:rRNA from 1 species
GACGAACCGAGCGAACGUUGUUCGGAAUCACUGGGCUUAAAGGGCGCGUAGGCGGGCUGCCAAGUUUGGGGUGAAAUCCUCCGGCUCAACCGGGGAAGUGCCUCGAAUACUGGCGGUCUCGAGGGAGGUAGGGGCGUGCGGAACUGUAGGUGGAGCGGUGAAAUGCGUUGAUAUCUACAGGAACUCCGGUGGCGAAGGCGGCACGCUGGACCUUUUCUGACGCUGAGGCGCGAAAGCCAGGGGAGCAAACGGG